GCUCGCGUAGCUCAGUGGUAGAGCAUUGUACUUAUGGGUUGCCUUAAUCAUACCAAGCAGAGAAUGCAAGGGUCUCCGGUUCAAUCCCGGGCGUGAGCA